rnacentral:rRNA from 1 species
UACGUAGGGGGCUAGCGUUGUCCGGAUUUAUUGGGCGUAAAGAGCGUGUAGGCGGCCAGGUAGGUCUGGUGUGAAAACUCGAGGCUUAACCUUGAGAUGUCAUCGGAAACCAUUUGGCUAGAGUCCGGAAGAGGAAAGUGGAAUUCCGGGUGGAGUGGUGAAAUGCGUAGAGAUCGGGAGGAACACCAGUGGCGAAGGCGGCUACCUGGACCAGCACUGACACUGAGGCACGAAAGCGUGGGGAGCAGACAGG